rnacentral:tRNA from 1 species
GGGGAGAUGGCUCAGUGGUUAAGAGCACUGACUGCUCUUCCAGAGGUCCUGAGUUCAAUUCCCAGCAACCACA